rnacentral:miRNA from 1 species
CCGGUACGGGCUGUGGGGGACG